rnacentral:tRNA from 1 species
AACUAAUGAGCUUGAACAAGCGUGUACCUUGAAAGUACAUGAAAGAAAUAUUAAUUUCUAUUAGUUU